AGGGAAGAAACAGAUGUAGAUUGUUUCAGUUUAAUAAACUAGUAACAUAAUGAAACAGGUUUCACUAUGAAGUAAACAGAAAUACAAUGUACAUCUUUGGAUACAUUUCUUGCCAUUUUUAUCAUGCAUCUUUUCUCAGCAGUGGUGGAUGGGCCCAAACAGUGAGGGAAUAGCUUGUCUUUCCUGGAAAGCCACUGAAGGAGCCCAAAUUAGUAUCUCCCUUGCCGCUGGAUGCCGCUGCAUUUGAGUUGGAUUCAUUCUCAGUGGAACAUGGUCGCCUGGAAGGCUCUCUGAUGGCUGUGCUAUGCCUUGCGACCUACACUGCCAUGCAGGUGAUUAAAUACGAUGUUUUAAUGUACUGUUUUUUUUGUCU
rnacentral:lncRNA from 1 species